rnacentral:rRNA from 1 species
AUUGAACGCUGGCGGCAGGCCUAACACAUGCAAGUCGAACGAGUGGCGGACGGGUGAGUAAUGUCUGGGAAACUGCCUGAUGGAGGGGGAUAAUUAUCGGAAACGGUAGCUAAUACCGCAUACCAUCGGAUGUGCCCAGAUGGGUUUGGCUAGUAGGUGGGGUAAAGGCUCACCUAGGCGACGAUCCCUAGUUGGUCUGAGAGGAUGACCGGCCACACUGGAACGGAGACACGGUCCAGACUCCUCCGGGAGGCAGCAGUGGGGAAUAUUGCACAAUGGGCGCAAGCCGAAUGCAGCCCUGCCGCGUGUAUGAAGAAAGCCUUCGGGUUGUAAGGUACGUUAAGCGGGGAGGCGUGACCCGACGAAGAAGCACCAGCUAACUCCGUGCCAGCAGCCGCGGUAAUAC